rnacentral:rRNA from 1 species
UACGUAGGCAGCAAGCGUUGUUCGGAGUUACUGGGCGUAAAGGGUGCGUAGGCGGCUUUUUAAGUUUGGUGUGAAAUCUCCCGGCUCAACUGGGAGGGUGCGCCGAAUACUGAGAGGCUAGAGUGCGGGAGAGGAAAGUGGAAUUCCUGGUGUAGCGGUGAAAUGCGUAGAUAUCAGGAGGAACACCGGUGGUGUAAACGGCUUUCUGGACCGUAACUGACGCUGAGGCACGAAAGCGUGGGGAGCGAUCCGG